UGGGGAAUAUUGGACAAUGGGCGAAAGCCUGAUCCAGCCAUGCCGCGUGUGUGAAGAAGGUCUUCGGAUUGUAAAGCACUUUAAGUUGGGAGGAAGGGCAGUAAGCGAAUACCUUGCUGUUUUGACGUUACCGACAGAAUAAGCACCGGCUAACUCUGUGCCAGCAGCCGCGGUAAUACAGAGGGUGCAAGCGUUAAUCGGAAUUACUGGGCGUAAAGCGCGCGUAGGUGGUUCGUUAAGUUGAAUGUGAAAGCCCCGGGCUCAACCUGGGAAGUGCAUCCAAAACUGGCGAGCUAGAGUAGGGCAGAGGGUGGUGGAAUUUCCUGUGUAGCGGUGAAAUGCGUAGAUAUAGGAAGGAACACCAGUGGCGAAGGCGACCACCUGGGCUCAUACUGACACUGAGGUGCGAAAGCGUGGGGAGCAAACAGG
rnacentral:rRNA from 1 species